GCCAGACUCCUACGGGAGGCAGCAGUGGGGGAUAUUGCACAAUGGGGGAAACCCUGAUGCAGCGACGCCGCGUGGGCGAAGAAGUAUUUCGGUAUGUAAAGCCCUAUCAGCAGGGAAGAAGAAAUGACGGUACCUGAGUAAGAAGCACCGGCUAAAUACGUGCCAGCAGCCGCGGUAAUACGUAUGGUGCAAGCGUUAUCCGGAUUUACUGGGUGUAAAGGGAGCGCAGGCGGCACGGCAAGCCUGAUGUGAAAGCCCGCGGCCCAACCGCGGGACUGCAUUGGGAACUACCGGGCUGGAGUGCCGGAGAGGUAGGCGGAAUUCCUAGUGUAGCGGUGAAAUGCGUAGAUAUACGGAGGAACACCAGUGGCGAAGGCGGAUGACUGGACGGCAACUGACGGUGAGGCGCGAAAGCGUGGGGAGCAAACAGGAUUAGAUACCCCGGUA
rnacentral:rRNA from 1 species